CGGACGUAAGACUGGGGAUUACUGCUCCAUUGGUGACGUCUGGGAAGAGUCAGAUGAAGAGGAGGAGUCCAGGAAGAGACGCCUGUGGACACCCCUGUUCAGGGACACCACGGAGGAAGAUGAACCAGUGGACAGGGCCUGCCUGGCCACCAAGGAAGGAGGGCAACCAGAGGAGGGCAGGGCCCUGGGAGCUGAGAAGAGAAAGUCUCUGAAGAAGCUGGUGAUUGACUGUGGAGGAAGGUGGGGUCAGAAAAGGUCCUCCGACACUGCAGUGCCUUCUGCACCAUCUGCUGGCUCCGCAAAGGUAAUUAACAAAUGCACACUAUUCCCAGACGAGGCUGGUUUUUAAGGACAAUCACGCCAGGAAAACAGAGAGGAACAGAGACUGUGGCAGACCUGCUAGGCGUCUGCAGUCCCAGACUCCACUUCAGUGUGUCGUUGGAGAUGCUUGUCAAAUUGUAACUUCUAAAAAUGAAUUUGAACGGAUUGAAACAAGGAAAUGAGAUUUCACCUCUAGUGGGAGACCUUAAAGGAGGAGUGAGAAAAAUCGCAGGAUGUCCAGGAGUGUUGGACUCCCAGCGCUAAUUUUUCUGUACUAAUUGUCAUCUUUGAUUUAUUGUGGAUAUUCUAAAGAAGGAGAAAUAAAAACAGUCAUCAACAAAAGCACGAGAUAAAAUGUUGUGCCGAGCACUAAAUGUUGGGUCACACGCAGGCAAAUGCUGCCCUUCCCUGACGGACCUUGGACCUUGAACGUGUCAAUCAACCUCUCUGAGCCUCCUUCUCAGACCUGUGAGCUGGGAACAAUAGAAAUACCAAGCCUUAAACAAGACAAUGAAUUUGGAUCAAGAAUCACAUGCAGAGACCAGCGAGUACAAAGCCCUUCUUAAGUGCUGGUUGCUGUUAAAGUUGUCUUAUCAGAGGCAGAGGACCCUGCCAGGUGGACAUCAAGGGAACCUGGGACCUCGCAACAAGCACUUCAGAGGUCUG